UUUUUUUAAAUAAGGCAUAUUUAAUGUAAUUUUGUUUCAUAAGGAGAAUAUAAUAAGAUUUAUGCAGACCAUAACAUUAUAAUUGUACAGAAUUUCUUAGUAUAAAAUUGGAUAACAUCAUCCAAGAAAAGUGAUCUGGCAAAACCUCUAAAAUGUGAAACAAUAUGCUUAUCGUAAAAACCUGCCUGUAAUUUUAAAGAAAUACAAUCGUGAAAGUUAGUUAAAACUCCCAUAAACAUGCUUUUAACUUCAAAAACAAAAGACGAAUUUCUUUUCAGGCAAGCUUGCACAAAUUCAUAAGAUCUCUUACUAAGCAAAAGCUGUAAGUUUAGAACAAUUUCAAAUAUUUAAGCCAGCUGUUAUCUUUAACACAUUUAUUUUCAAAAGAUAACAUGAUAUAUAUGAUUUUAAAAGAUUUAUUUGUCUAUUUUCCUGCUCUAAAAAUGUACCUUAUUACAUCCAUACAGCAUUCGUCUACGGGAAUGACAGCAAAACCAAGUUUCUCCUUACUCAUUCCAGCAAGGGAGAGAAUAAUUACUUAAGAGCUUUCUAUGACAAUUGCUGGGAGCCAGACACCCAAACAGCCAUCCCUAUAUAACAGGGUUUGAAUGGUAAGGGCUUCACGUCUCAAUGAUCAUGGUCUGGCCCAAUCCAAAGCCAGCCUCCAAACUGCCAGAGCUCAGCGAAUGGUCUGUGUCCCAGCCCUGCACAUGACUAAAUUUGCUCCUGUCCAUCAUUUGGGUCAUAUAUAGUUCAAUUCAGUGAAGCAGACAGGGGCUGUAAGGAAAUCUGGAGCUGAUCAAUGCCUUGUCUGGGAGGCUCACAAGCUGCUGAUAUAUGCUAGCAAAACUCAUGCCUCAACUCUACCUCGGGCACAGCGCAGGCCGGCUGACAACAAUAAUUCCAUUUUCUUAAAAAAACUUAGUUUCAAUUGUGGGGAAGACGUCUUCCUUCCUACAGUAACUGCAACAUUUUUGACAAAGAUCCAACAUUCUGCCUGACGUAAUGCAACUUGCUCCGAGAGUGGUCUCCUUCGCUGCUGCUGGGGAUCUGGAUAUCAGCAGCAGAACCCGCAAUUAAUUGCAUAUCCAUUGCUGAUCUAGAGAUGAGCUGUUUUCUUGAUCCUCUGCUGUUGUUCUGGUGAAGGUGCUCCCAGAAUAAUAUCCUUUUGCUGGUUGCCUGGAACUCCUGGGAGUUCCAGCAUAUUGAUCCACCGAGAACGAAGACGUAUAAGCUUCUUCCAGCUGAAAUCUUCAUUCGAAUUCUCAUUCUCACAGGUUAGUAUAGUGGAAACAUUGGAGUUGAUAUUCAUUAAGGAUUGAAUAGAAUGCAAGACCUAAUCCAGUCAAAGGAUACCAAAGAGAAAGUUGUCUACAAGGUUAACAGAUUAAAUGGUGGAUCUACAGGAAGAAUGGAAGAAGUGAGGCAAGAUGUGAAUUUGAAAAUGAAAAAUUUACAGUGUUGCAUUUUCCAACCCCAGAAAACAGCUGAGAAAAAUGCGCAUGAUGUAAGUGGAGUAAACAAAUAAUAAAUGACAAUGUGAAAUCAUUGAAAUUAUAAAUAUAUAUUUUUUUACUAGCAGAUCUUGCAACAGGUGCAGGUCAUUUGGCCCUUCUCCCCUAUUCAAUAUGACCAUGGCCAAUCACCCACAUCAGUACUCUUUCCAUUUUCUCCACACAUCCCUUCUUGCCUUCAGCAUUAAGAAAUAUACCUACCUCCUUCAUGAAUAUCUUUAAUGACUUCCAAUCCUUUCUGUGAAACAGAAUUCCACUGGUUCAUCACCUUUAGGUGAAUAGAUUUCUUCUGGCAAUACUAAAUAGCAUUCCUUGUAGCCCAAGGGUGUACCCUUUGGUUCUGAACUCCUGAGCCAUCAGUAACAUCCUCCCUUCAUCUUGUCUUCCAAGUCCCGUUAUGAUCUUCUAGAUCUACAUGCAUUCCCAUCCCUUCUAAAUUCCAGUGAAUACAGGGCUAAUCAAUCCAAUCUUGCCUCAUAUAUCGCCUUAUUAUUCUAAAAAUCAAUCUAGUAAACCUUAACUGUACUCCCUUCAUUGUAAAAACAUCCUUCUCUUAUUAGGGAGGGCAACAUUGCAGGCAAAAAAUCCUGGUGGGGUCUCACCACUGAUGCGUCAGCCAUGCUCCUAUAUUUGAUCCCUCUUGCAAUGAAUGGCAACGUACAAUCGCCUUUUAGAAUUUGGAUGAAACAUUACAAUGAAGUUUUAAGUUGGGCAAUAAAUGUGGUCAGUUCUGCACAUAGUACCCAUUUAGUAUAAAAAUCAGAAGGCUCAAACCAUUUUUAUAUUUGGACUAUAAUGAAUUUUAGCACGGUAAAGAAAGCAAAAAUAUACUACAUUGUAGUUCACCAAUCUGUUCAAUAACUACAUUUGUUAUUUACCACAUGUAAGCAACAUAGGAAGCAAUAGUAGGAAUGGGUCAUUCAGUCUUUUGCACCUAUUAUGCCAUUCAAUAUUAUUGUUGAUUUUUUCAUCUCAGCACCAUUUUCCAACACUUAACUUUGUAUCCCUCAAUCCCACUCAUAAUUUUUUUUUAAAUGUACUUAAUAAAAUUUGACGCUAACCCCUCACAGUCCGCUCAGGAAAGGUUAGGGUGAUAUAUUUAUUUUGAUUUGGGUUGAAUGGCCACCUCUACUUUGUGAUUUUGCCACCUAAUUCUGGACAUGCCAGCCAGACGUUACAUCAACUUCACAUCCUUUCAGUCAAGCAAGCAUUUUACAAUAAAAUCAUUUCUUAUUCUUCAAAGCACACAAGAUUACAAUUAGUGCCUGCUUAGCCUGUCACCAUAAAAGCUCCUCAAUCCCACGAAUCAACCAGAUGAACCAUUUUUUUGCUAGGACUUCAUUUAUCUCCAAUCCAAGUUGGAGCAUGCAGAAGGACAAAAGUGUUUUAGACAGGUUGUAUUAAUGGUGCUCAUAGAAUCCUGGGUUUCCCUAUAUUUAAAUCAUCGACAGUUAAUGCACUGGUAGAGCAAGCAAUUGGGAAGCCGAGCUGUUGUUGAUCAUAACUGUGAGAGGAUUUCAGUAAACAUUUCUUACUAGAAUGACAUGGUGCUCUGGUAAGAUCAGCCCAAGAAUAUUGUCCCAGGUCAGGUCUUCCAUGGGUUGUGACUUGCUGCAUAGUUAAGGGAGAAAACAGUGGAUGUGGAACACACCAGAUCCACUGUUUUCUCCCCUAACUAUGCAGCAAAUCACAACCUAAAAAAAUCUUUAAGAUUUGUUAAAUUUGAUUUCUCUUUCAUAAAUCCAUCCAGAUUCUGCUGAAUCAAAUUAGUCAGUCAAAACAUCAUGGAAACAGGCCAUUCAGCACAACUUGCCCACGCCGCCCAACAUGCCUCAUCUACACUAGUCCCACCUGCUUGCAGUUGCUCCAUAUCCCUCAUAACGUAUCCCUUUUUUCAUGUACCUGUCCAAAUGUAUUUUUUCAUUAAGUGAUUUUUUUUUCAUCAAUUAUUUAUCAAUAAGAUCCCCUUAAUAAUAUUCUGUCAUUAUUGCUUUUCCCAAUCCCUCUAUUACCUUUUCUUCGAGCAAAAACACAGAUGCUAUGAACACAAAACUAAAACAAAAAAGCCUGGAAGAAUCUUGACGGGUCAGUGAUCUAAAAUAUUAACCAUAUUCCUUUCCAUAGACAUUGAAUGAUCAUGCAUUUUGUUUCUGUUUUACUCCAUACCACCAGUGGUGGGGCUGGUGGAGUGAAACAAUAUAAAUGCCAAAGAUAACAAGCUAAAUUUCAAAGGGGGAUUAUUUAAGGAUGUUUCAGUAUUCAACCACAAAUUCAACAAUUUUAAAUUUCAGCCAUAAUCGUUAGUAUUGAUCCUGCUACUCCAAUAUAUGCUGCUCUAGACCCAUCUUUUAUUUUUUUUAGCCAAGCCUAUUAUCCUCCUCUAUUCAUUUACAUCAUUAGCCUUUCUGUCAACUGCAUUCCACAAAUCAGACAUUCUCUUUUGUUCUCUCCAAAGUAUUAUCACCACCCUACAUAAUUGGACCCACACUGACCAACCUCUGUACUUGUUUAAAACCUGUUACAACGUGCUCUCAAUGCACAUUUCAGCUUCAAUGAAAGAUCAUUGACUUGAAAUACAAAUCACAUUCUUCUCUCCACUGAAGCUGUCUGACCUGCAAUAUUUGCAUUUAUUUUAAAUUCUUGUAAAUGCCAUGUAUGAGUGAAAAUGACAAAUAGUUUGGAAUUCGUACUGUUUCUAGUAACUGACAAAUUAAAAUAAUUGGUGUUAA